rnacentral:rRNA from 1 species
AGUGAACGCUGGCGGUAGGCCUAACACAUGCAAGUCGAACGGCAGCACAGUAAGAGCUUGCUCUUACGGGUGGCGAGUGGCGGACGGGUGAGGAAUACAUCGGAAUCUACUUUUUCGUGGGGGAUAACGUAGGGAAACUUACGCUAAUACCGCAUACGACCUACGGGUGAAAGCAGGGGAUCUUCGGACCUUGCGCGAUUGAAUGAGCCGAUGUCGGAUUAGCUAGUUGGCGGGGUAAAGGCCCACCAAGGCGACGAUCCGUAGCUGGUCUGAGAGUAUGAUCAGCCACACUGGAACUGAGACACGGUCCAGACUCCUACGGGACGCAGCAGUGGGGAAUAUUGGACAAUGGGCGCAAGCCUGAUCCAGCCAUACCGCGUGGGUGAAGAAGGCCUUCGGGUUGUAAAGCCCUUUUGUUGGGAAAGAAAAGCAGCAGGUUAAUACCCCGCUGUUCUGACGGUACCCAAAGAAUAAGCACCGGCUAACUUCGUG